UUGGAAACUGAUUUACUUGAGUGCGAUAGAGGCAAGUGGAACUCCAUGUGUAGCGGUGAAAUGCGUAGAUAUGUGGGAAGAACACCAGUGGCGAAAGCGGCUUGCUAGAUCGUAACUGACGUUGAGGCUCGAAAGUAUGGGUAGCAAACGGGAUUAGAUACCCCGGUAGUCCAUACCGUAAACGAUGGGUGCUAGUUGUUAAGAGGUUUCCGCCUCCUAGUGACGUAGCAAACGCAUUAAGCACCCCGCCUGAGGAGUACGGCCGCAAGGCUAAAACUUAAAGGAAUUGACGGGGACCCGCACAAGCGG
rnacentral:rRNA from 1 species